UCAUGGCGUCAGGAUGAACGCUGGCGGCGUGCCUAACACAUGCAAGUCGAGCGAUCUCUCGGAGAAGAGCGGCGGACGGGUGAGUAACGCGUGGGUAACCUGCCCUAUACACACGGAUAACGUACCGAAAGGUACGCUAAUACGAGAUAAUAUGCUUUUAGUCGCAUGGCUGAAGUAUCAAAGCUCCGGCGGUAUAGGAUGGACCCGCGUCUGAUUAGCUAGUUGGCAAGGUAAUGGCUUACCAAGGCGACGAUCAGUAGCCGACCUGAGAGGGUGAUCGGCCACAUUGGAACUGAGACACGGUCCAAACUCCUACGGGAGGCAGCAGUGGGGAAGUAUUGCACAAUGGGCGGAAAGCCUGAUGCCAGCAACGCCGCGUGAGCGAUGAAGGCCUUCGGGUCGUAAAGCUCUGUCCUCAAGGAAGAUAAUGACGGUACUUGAGGAGGAAGCCCCGGCUAACUACGUGCCAGCCGCCGC
rnacentral:rRNA from 1 species